UACGGAGGGUGCAAGCGUUAUCCGGAUUCACUGGGUUUAAAGGGUGCGUAGGCGGGUAGGUAAGUCAGUGGUGAAAUCCUGGAGCUUAACUCCAGAACUGCCAUUGAUACUAUCUAUCUUGAAUAUUGUGGAGGUUUGCGGAAUAUGUCAUGUAGCGGUGAAAUGCUUAGAUAUGACAUAGAACACCUAUUGCGAAGGCAGCAGGCUACACAAAUAUUGACGCUGAGGCACGAAAGCGUGGGGAUCAAACAGG
rnacentral:rRNA from 1 species